CUUAAGGAAAAAGAGCACCAAAGACCCAGAUUUUGACAUCAUUUCCUGGUUGAACAAGAUGAAGCAGAGUAAUAAAUGGGUAGGCUUUACCUGAUUGGCUGAAUUGAGCUUCCUGGACCCGGGAGAGCUUGGUAUCUGAUCGGCAGGGGGCAUUUUCUCUAUAUAAGAAGAAGAUGGAGACUCGCUACCCACCCGAUAUAUUUUGUCGGACAGAUUUCUGUACAUUGCAGUGACAACUGUAUCCAGAUUUCAUCACAGGAAUGAAAGUUUUUCACUCUUUGGAAAAGCACCUGCAGCAGGGAGGGGACAUUCAUUAAGAUGGCCACAGAUUCCAAGACACUGAAGUGACAGGCCUCAAAUUUCAUACAUGUAUGUUGGUAAGUAUAAGGUCUUUGAAAAU